rnacentral:snoRNA from 1 species
AACCCAUGAUAAGGGCAUCUUCUCAAUAGGUCGUUGUAUCUCUCCCAUGCAUCGUAGAGUGUUUCCAAAUUCAUCUGCACAAAAGAAGAGAUAUCAUUACGUAGUUU